rnacentral:rRNA from 1 species
CCAAAAGUCCGUCACCCUGAACGCGCCCGAUCUCGUCUGAUCUCGGAAGCUAAGCAGGAUCGGGCCCGGUUAGUACUUGGAUGGGAGACACUUAGCCUUUCUUAUGGU